rnacentral:rRNA from 1 species
GACGAACACUGGUUCGCCGCUUAACACAUGCCAGUCAAACCGAAAGGCCCUGAUUGCACGGUACUCAAGUGGCGAACGGGAGACUAACACCUGGGGGAUCUGCCCUGCACUUCCCGACAAGCCUGGGAAACUGGCUCUAAUACCGGAUAUGAGCCAUUUUUAGUGUGCCGGCUGGAAAGUUUUUUCGGAGUAGGAUGAGCUCCCGGCCUAUCACCUUGUUGGUGGGGUAAUGGCCUACCAAGGCCGCUACGGGUAACCAGCCUGAAAGGGUGGACUGCCACAUUGGAACUGACAUACGGCCCACACUCCUACCGGAGGCAGCACUGGGGAAUAUUGCACAAUGGGCGCAAGCCUGAUGCAACGACGCCUCGUGGGGGAUGACGGCCUUCCGGAUGUAAACUCCGUUCUCUACGGACCAACCUUUUUGUGACCGUACCUAAAUAAUAAGCACCGGCUAACUACAUGCCAUCAACCGCCGUAAUACCUACGGUGCUACCGUUGUCCGGAAUUACUGGCCGUAAAUGGCUCACAGGUGGUUUGUCGAGUCAUCUGUCAAAUUCCGGCGCUUAACUCCGGGAGUGCAAGCGAUACUGACCUAGCUUGAUCACUGCACGGGCAACUGGAAUUCCUGGUGUAGCGGCGAAAUACUCACAUAUCAGGAGGAACAUCGAUGCAGAAGGCAGGUUCCCGGGCAGUUACUGACGCUGAGGAGCGAAAGCAUGGGUAGAGAACAGGAUUCGAUACCCUGGUAGUCCAUGCCGUAAUCGGUGGGCGCUAGGUGUGAGGGUCUUUUCACGACUUUCGUGCCGUAGUUAACGCAUUAAGCGCCCCGCCUGGGGAGUACGGCCGCAAGGCUAAAACUCAAAGGAAGUGACGGGGGCCCGCACAAGCGGCGGAGCAUGUGGAUUAAUUGGAUGCAACGGGAAGAACCUUAAGUGGGCUUGACAUACACGGGAUUGAUGCAGAGAUGUAGUUUCCCUUAGCGGGUGGUGUACAGGUGGCGCAAGGUUGUCGUCAGCUCGUGUCGUGAGAUGUUGGGUUAAGUCCUGCAACGAGCGCAACCCUUGUUCAUGUAGCCAGCAUUUGGUUGGGGAGUCAUGAGAGACUGCUCGGGGUCAACUCGGAGGAAGGUGGGGAUGACGUCAAAUCAUCAUGCCCGUUAGGUGCAGGGCUUCACACAUGCUACAAUGGUCGGUACAACGAGCAGAGACUCUGUGAGGUGGAGCGAAUCGAUGAAACCCGGCCUUAGUUCGGAUUGGGGUGUGCAACUCGACCCCACGAAGUAGGAGUCGUUAGUAAUCGCAGAUCAGGGAUGAGGCGGUGAAUAAGUUCCCGGUCCU